rnacentral:lncRNA from 1 species
GCCUCAAACAGGUCGUCUCUGACUACCAGCAGAAGGACUACAAUGUCAAUAACCUAAAUGGUUUAUUAUUGGCCUUAAACAAAUUCCUGAAAGACAGAUCACCUGAGAAGCAAAAGACGAAGGUAUGCCGUGUUUUUAUGAAGCAUUUAAGUUAUGCUCAGCAGUGCAUUUGUCACUGCAUUAGCAAAUGUUUAUCAGUGAAAAAAAGCAACAAAGCCUGUUCAGUAAACUUUUCCCCUUAGGCAGUUGGUGGGAACAGUUUUCAAUGCCUUCAAGGCCAGAAUUUCUGAAGCCUUCCGUAAAAGUGAAAGUCUUCCCUGUGGUUGCUGCUAAAACCUACGGCGCAGACACACAGAUCCUCAAACAGGUUGACAUGGAAGUCUGUUCCAGCCCAGCAGACUGUGAUGUGGUGGUGGUCUUCUGCCCAGUAACCUCUCGUGUUGGGUUGGAUGUGGACGACGCCAUUAGGAAUAUCCCAGGUGGGGCAAGUGGAAAGAAUGUUAUUCUAUUGAUAAUGCAUCAUUCGAGGAAAGACAUUUCUCCAGCAGAGGUCCAGCUGAACCAUGGACAUCAGAACGUCAUUCAAGAUGUUCAUGUGGUCUACCAUGAAACGCUGCAGGGAUUAGUAAAAUGCAGAACAAAUGACCAAGCCUUACAGACCCUGAAAGACUGGUGCAAGGCUUUCACACGUUAACCACAAUUCAAUACAAGCUUCAACUAAUUUACAAAUUACAUGGAAUCCAAAUUGCAUGUGAAAUAUAAAUUAAGACUCCCUGUGAAAACUCUUUGUUUGCCUCUAGGUUUGCCUUGUUUUCCUAAAUAACUCAAUAAAAGUACAAUAAUGUACUGUAUAUGAUACGAUGUGAUUUUUUUUUUCUCUCAGUUUUGGCUUAAGUCUCAAAUCAGAACUGCUAUUAAAUAUAAUUGUACAGUAAUUGUUAAUGCCUGUCGUUUAAAUUCCUGGAUGGGUUGGAAUUUUACUCUCCAUGAAGAUAAAAGAAUAUUAUCAGUGUCCACUCAAAUGGCCUGUUGCUGCCAUGGAUACAGCGUGUGAGAUCACAGCAGGACCUGCAGAAGCUGGAUAUGAGGUCAGAAGAUUAUUUCCCCACUGAAAAUAUACUUUGUGAUCUAGGGGAGAAUCUUUGGCCCAACAGAAAUGAACGUCAGAAUUUGUAAGAAGCACAAUGAUACUACAAUAAUACUGUAGUUAUGUCAACUAUCUUUUGGAAACCACUGAUGAGUUACUUACCAUUUUCUGUUAACACUUAAAACAGUGUGUGAUUAGCCAUUCAAACAAUGUUGUGUUGAACUUAUUUUCAAGACCAAGACAGUCACAUGGAACUUCAAUCUGUGAUAUCUCUUACUUUAUUUCUUCAGUACAUUGAAAAUAGUGAAGCAUUUUGAUAUGUCCAUAAACAAUAAAGACCUUUGCAUUAUGAGAGCUUUCCCUGAUACAAAUCCUUAACUUUAAUUCAGUUAUUAAGCUUUUGAGCUGGUGAUGUGAUUCUGCAAUUGUUACAUUGCAUUUUGCUGUUUGUACAGAUUAUUUAUCAAACUUUCAAACUUUUUAAAUGACCAGCGGUGAUCUGGGCCAAAGCUACUGGGAAAAACUGUACAACCAUAUUCUUGAGGCAGUUACAACUUCUACUUCUACGCAUUGUACAAAUAAAAAAUAAAUAAUAAAAAGGGUUGAUUUUAGUUCAGUAUUGUUCAAUUGAUUGUUAAUUGUUCUCAACUGAUGUAGUUUCAGGAUUCAACCUCUGUGACCCACCUAAAAAUAUGACUUUAAAAAAAAAAAACAUUUCUGACCUCCAGGUUAAAAACCACCGGGCCAAUUGAAUAUUAAAAUACUGUGGCAAUGCGAGGGUUAACUUAGCUGUUUUAAACAUAAGAUUGCCAGACAACGCCAGCUGGAGAUGGCCAGCACCAGAACUAAGUAAAGCACGUAGGUUCGUUGUUGAGUAGAUGGAUCAUAGAGGCCAGGCACUUUAUAGAAAAGUUUUACAUUUAUUUUCACAUUCUUUAGUUAAAAUCAUGUUGUUCCAAAGUCGUUUCACAGUUCGUUUGGUUACUUGUUUUCAGUCCAUAUUUCAGUUACCACAGUCUACCCAUGACGUUGCGCACCUACGGCGCUCCACGAAUCCAGUGACAGGGGAAUAAUAACAGAACAGGCGAACAAAAAGGUGGUAAAAGGGCGGAGAAAAAGGGCAAGGAAAAAGGCAGGCGGCAGUGACGACUCUCCUUGGUCCCAGACGUCUACAGAAGCAAGAAGGCACAUCACUACGAGUAUAAUUUACGAUUGUUAUUUCUAGAGUAACGACGCCACAAACCUGAGCGGGGCAUUUGCAUGGCUCGGGGCUUUGACAGCGGAGUCCGAGUCAACGCAGCCAAUCCACUCAACUACUAGCAUGACCAGUUACAGGGAGACCGCGGGCCCAUGAAGGCGCCGCGACAAACUAAACGUUAACAAUAUAGUUAAUACCAACUUAAGAUAUUUAGAUUUAGCGACCAAUAGGAUACUACCUGGACUGGAGAGUGACGAGGAGCAACAACCACAACACAAGACUGGGCGUACAGGAAGUCAGAGGUCAAACAAUUAACGGAAGUGCUAUUUAUCAGGUGACAGCUGGCGCGCACAGCCAAUCACCAUCAAAACUACAAGUGGCAGUGCCCGCCUGCAGGCAUACUGCCACAAUACUUAAUCCAAAGGUUCUGUUGUUUUGAGCUUUUAUCAUCAGGCUAACUAACAAAACUAUAUAUCAACAUUUGUCUUGGCAAAGGCUCACAACUACCCACUGAAGAUGCACCUGCGACCCACUUUUGAGACCUGAGCCACCAAUGGAGAAGCACUGGUUUAGCUGCUCCAAAUGUUUCCCUCUAAGGGACAUAUAAAGAGAAUUUUAGCCUUGACCAGAGCUAAUUAAAGUGACUAUAUACAGCAAAUGACCUGUCUCUGCAUCAGCUCUGACUUGCAAUCAGAUAGCCCCCUCCAAUCAGCCGUAAAAACAGAUUUUGUUAAGUAUACCAAAGUGAAUGGUUACUGUGAGUUUUUCGGCCAUCAAGGUCACACAUGAGCAGACG